UACGUAGGGCGCAAGCGUUGUCCGGAAUUAUUGGGCGUAAAGAGCUCGUAGGUGGUUUGUUACGUCUGCUGUGAAAACCUAGGGCUUAACCCUGGGCCUGCAGUGGAUACGGGCAGACUAGAGGUAGGUAGGGGAGAAUGGAAUUCCCGGUGUAGCGGUGAAAUGACGGCAGAUAUCGGGAGGAACACCGGUGGCGAAGGCGGUUCUCUAGUACGGUACUGACGCUGAGACGCGAAAGCGUGGGGAGCGAACAGG
rnacentral:rRNA from 1 species